rnacentral:rRNA from 1 species
UACAGAGGGGGCAAGCGUUGUUCGGAAUUACUGGGCGUAAAGGGCGCGUAGGCGGCCCCGCUAAGUCGAACGUGAAAAUCCCCCGAGCUCAACUCGGGAACUGCGUCCCGAUACUGGAUGGCUUGAAUCCGGGAGAGGGAUGCAGAAUUCCAGGUGUAGCGGUGAAAUGCGUAGAUAUCUGGAGGAAUACCGGUGGCGAAGGCGGCAUCCUGGACCGGCAUUGACGCUGAGGAGCGAAAGCUAGGGGAGCAAACGGG